GACGAACCGUGCGAACGUUGUUCGGAAUCACUGGGCUUAAAGGGCGCGUAGGCGGGCGGCAAAGUCAGGGGUGAAAUCCUCCAGCUUAACUGGAGAAGUGCCUUUGAUACUGGUCGUCUUGAGGAAGGUAGGGGCAUGCGGAACUGAUGGUGGAGCGGUGAAAUGUGUUGAUAUCAUCAGGAACUCCGGUGGCGAAAGCGGCGUGCUGGACCUUUUCUGACGCUGAUGCGCGAAAGCCAGGGGAGCAAACGGGG
rnacentral:rRNA from 1 species